UACGUAGGGUGCAAGCGUUGUCCGGAAUUAUUGGGCGUAAAGAGCUCGUAGGCGGUUUGUCGCGUCUGCUGUGAAACCCGAGGCUCAACCUCGGGCCUGCAGUGGGUACGGGCAGACUAGAGUGCGGUAGGGGAGAUUGGAAUUCCUGGUGUAGCGGUGGAAUGCGCAGAUAUCAGGAGGAACACCAAUGGCGAAGGCAGAUCUCUGGGCCGUAACUGACGCUGAGGAGCGAAAGCAUGGGAGCAAACAGG
rnacentral:rRNA from 1 species